AGCAGCCGCGGUAAUUCCAGCUCCAAUAGCGUAUAUUAAAGUUGUUGCAGUUAAAAAGCUCGUAGUUGAACUUCGGGGUUCACCCAUUGGUCAGGCUUAAUUGUCUGUACUGGUGAGAUGAAUCUCUACCUUCUGAGGAACUUUCAUGCCAUUUAUUUGGUGUGAUGGGAAAUCAGGACUGUUACUUUGAAAAAAUUAGAGUGUUUAAAGCAGGCUAACGUCUGAAUACAUUAGCAUGGAAUAAUGAAAUAGGACGGAUUGAUUCUAUUUCGUUGGUUUCUAGGAUCACCGUAAUGAUUAAUAGGGAUAGUUGGGGGCAUUAGUAUUCAAUUGUCAGAGGUGAAAUUCUUGGAUUUAUUGAAGACUAACUACUGCGAAAGCAUUUGCCAAGGAUGUUUUCAUUAAUCAAGAACGAAAGUUAGGGGAUCGAAGACGAUCAGAUACCGUCGUAGUCUUAACCAUAAACUAUGCCGACUAGGGAUCGGACGAAGUUAAUUAAUAAUGACGCGUUCGG
rnacentral:rRNA from 1 species